rnacentral:rRNA from 1 species
CACGUAGGGCGCAAGCGUUGUCCGGAAUUAUUGGGCGUAAAGAGCUCGUAGGCGGUCUGUUGCGUCCGCUGUGAAAACUCGGGGCUUAACCCCGAGCCUGCAGUGGAUACGGGCAGACUAGAGGUAGGUAGGGGAGAAUGGAAUUCCCGGUGUAGCGGUGAAAUGCGCAGAUAUCGGGAGGAACACCGGUGGCGAAAGCGGCUUCCUGGUCCAGCACCGACGUCAGGCACGAAAGCGUGGGGAGCAAACAGGG